UGGGGAAUAUUGCACAAUGGGCGCAAGCCUGAUGCAGCCAUGCCGCGUGUGUGAAGAAGGCCUUCGGGUUGUAAAGCACUUUCAGCGAGGAGGAAGGUGGUGAGCUUAAUACGCUCAUCAAUUGACGUUACUCGCAGAGGAAGCACCGGCUAACUCCGUGCCAGCAGCCGCGGUAAUACGGAGGGUGCAAGCGUUAAUCGGAAUUACUGGGCGUAAAGCGCACGCAGGCGGUUUGUUAAGUCAGAUGUGAAAAUCCCCGGGCUCAACCUGGGAACUGCAUUUGAAACUGGCAAGCUAGAGUCUCGUAGAGGGGGUAGAAUUCCAGGUGGUAGCGGUGAAAUGCGUAGAGAUCUGGAAGGAAUACCGGUGGCGAAGGCAGCCCCCUGGCCAAUACUG
rnacentral:rRNA from 1 species